rnacentral:rRNA from 1 species
AUUGAACGCUGGCGGCAGGCCUAACACAUGCAAGUCGAACGAGUGGCGGACGGGUGAGUAAUGUCUGGGAAACUGCCCGAUGGAGGGGGAUAACUACUGGAAACGGUAGCUAAUACCGCAUACUAUUAGAUGUGCCCAUAUCGGAUUAGCUAGUUGGUGGGGUAAAGGCUCACCAAGGCGACGAUCCGUAGCUGGUUUGAGAGGAUGACCAGCCACACUGGCACUGAGACACGGCCCAGACUCCUACGGGAGGCAGCAGUGGGGAAUUUUGGACAAUGGGCGCAACCCUGAUGCAGCCAUCCCGCGUGUAUGAUGAAGGCCUUCGGGUUGUAAAGUACUUUUGGCGGAGAAGCGUUAUCUGCAGAAGAAGCACCGGCUAACUCCGUGCCAGCAGCCGCGGUAAUUC